rnacentral:rRNA from 2 species
UACGAAGGGUGCAAGCGUUACUCGGAAUUACUGGGCGUAAAGCGUGCGUAGGUGGUUGUUUAAGUCUGUCGUGAAAGCCCUGGGCUCAACCUGGGAAUUGCGAUGGAAACUGGGCGACUAGAGUGUGGCAGAGGGUAGUGGAAUUCCUGGUGUAGCAGUGAAAUGCGUAGAGAUCAGGAGGAACAUCCGUGGCGAAGGCGACUGCCUGGGCCAACACUGACACUGAGGCACGAAAGCGUGGGGAGCAAACAGGAUUAGAUACCCUGGUAGUCCACGCCCUAAACGAUGCGAACUGGAUGUUGGGUGCAAUUUGGCACGCAGUAUCGAAGCUAACGCGUUAAGUUCGCCGCCUGGGGAGUACGGUCGCAAGACUGAA